rnacentral:rRNA from 1 species
UACGUAGGCAGCAAGCGUUGUUCGGAGUUACUGGGCGUAAAGGGUGCGUAGGCGGCUUUUUAAGUCUGGUGUGAAAUCUCCCGGCUCAACUGGGAGGGUGCGCCGGAUACUGAGGGGCUAGAGUGUGGGAGAGGAAAGUGGAAUUCCUGGUGUAGCGGUGAAAUGCGUAGAUAUCAGGAGGAACACCGGUGGUGUAAGCGGCUUUCUGGACCAUAACUGACGCUGAGGCACGAAAGCGUGGGUAGCAAACAGG